GGUGGGGUCGCAUAGCGGUUUAGUGCACCGGUCUUGAAAACCGGAGUCGUCGUAAGACGACCGUGAGUUCGAAUCUCACCCCCACCG
rnacentral:tRNA from 3 species